rnacentral:tRNA from 1 species
GGGGAUUUAGCUCAGUGGUUAGAGCGCUUGCCUAGCAGGUGCAAGGCCCUGGGUUCAGUCCCCA